UACGUAGGCAGCGAGCGUUGUUCGGAAUUACUGGGCGUAAAGAGUGUGUAGGCGGUGCUCUAAGUUCGGUGUGAAAUCUCCUGCUUAACUGGGAGGGUGCGCCGGAAACUGGAGUACUCGAACGUGGGGAGAGGAAAGCGGAAUUCCUGGUGUAGCGGUGAAAUGCGUAGAUAUCAGGAGGAACACCUGCGGUGUAGACGGCUUUCUGGACCAUUGUUGACGCUGAGACACGAAAGCCGUGGGUAGCAAACAGG
rnacentral:rRNA from 1 species